GAUGAACGCUGGCGGCGUGCCUAAUACAUGCAAGUCGAGCGAAUGGAUUAAGAGCUUGCUCUUAUGAAGUUAGCGGCGGACGGGUGAGUAACACGUGGGUAACCUGCCCAUAAGACUGGGAUAACUCCGGGAAACCGGGGCUAAUACCGGAUAACAUUUUGAACCGCAUGGUUCGAGAUUGAAAGGCGGCUUCGGCUGUCACUUAUGGAUGGACCCGCGUCGCAUUAGCUAGUUGGUGAGGUAACGGCUCACCAAGGCAACGAUGCGUAGCCGACCUGAGAGGGUGAUCGGCCACACUGGGACUGAGACACGGCACAGACUCCUACGGGAGGCCGCAGUAGGGAAUCUUCCGCAAUGGACGAAAGUCUGACGGAGCAACGCCGCGUGAGUGAUGAAGGCUUUCGGGUCGUAAAACUCUGUUGUUAGGGAAGAACAAGUGCUAGUUGAAUAAGCUGGCACCUUGACGGUACCUAACCAGAAAGCCACGGCUAACUACGUGCCAGCCGCCGCGGUAA
rnacentral:rRNA from 1 species